ensembl:snRNA U6 U6 spliceosomal RNA
ACUUGCUUCAUCAGGACAUUUACUAAAACUGCAGCAAUACGGAGAAGAUGGGUGGGGCUCCUGCGCAAGGAUGACACACAAAUUCAUGAAGCGUUCCAUAUUUUU